ACCCAAUAGAUACCCAGGUAGUCCGCACCGUAAACGUUGUAUACUAGUUGUUGGUGGUUUCAACGCCAUCAGUGACGUCGCUAAACGCAUUAAGUAUACCGCCUGGGGAGUAUGCUCGCAAGGGUGAAACUCAAAGAAAUUGACGGGGGCCCGCACAAGCGGUGGAGCAUGUGGUUUAAUUCGACGAUACGCGAGAAACCUUACCUGGGUUUGACAUGGAUUUGACUGGGGUAGAGAUACCCCUUCCCGCAAGGGCAGAUUCACAGGUGUUGCAUGGUCGUCGUCAGCUCGUGUUGUGAGAUGUUGGGUUAAGUCCCGCAACGAGCGCAACCCCUAUCUUCUGUUACCAUCAUUAAGUUGGGGACUCUGAAGAAACCGCCGGUGACAAACCGGAGGAAGGUGGGGAUGACGUCAGAUCAGCAUGGCCCUUAUAUCCAGGGCUACACACGUGCUACAAUGGCCGGUACAGAGGGACGCAAAGCCGCGAGGUGGAGCAAAUCCCACAAAGCCGGUCUCAGUUCAGAUUGCAGUCUGCAACUC
rnacentral:rRNA from 1 species